GAGGGUGUACUUAGAGCCCUCUGCACGAUGUGUGUUAAUAGUAGUGGCUUUUGGCCGAGCCGCACGGUUAGAGAAUC
rfam:Prevotella corporis strain MJR7716 genomic scaffold Scaffold238, whole genome shotgun sequence.